GGGUCCUUGGAGCUGGGGGAAGACAAGCAUUCAGGGGCCUUGCUUGGCAUUUCCAGGAAGGCCUGAGGCUUCCUUUGCUCCCACAGACACUGAGACAGCUUACAAAGGGACUCUACACAUCACUGCCACCACUCAGCAGUUGUCAUUCUGAGAACACACAGAGUGAAAACAUCAUUCCUGGUGACAAACUCGAAGCCAACAAACAGGGGGUGUCUGCUGGGACCUUGCAGUAGCAACAGUUCCAGGCUCCCUGAGGAUGUGGUAUAAAAAGCAAAUCGCUACGGGGUUUGCAGUCGGUCGUCUGCAGUGUCCCUAGCAGUUGACUGGUCAAGCCCUCUGGUGCCCUGAUGAGCGGACAUAGUAUACAGAACCAAUGGGGUGCGCUUCCCCAUGAAUCGAUCCUCAGAUCCGAUCAGAGUCUGUUAAGGAGCAGCCCUGGCUCUGGACAGGCACAUCAAUCCCCGAGAAAACGAAUAUAACAGCGGCAUCGCAUCCCGGCCUCCUUGGCAGCCAGCGCAUUACUUUGGAGAAUCUGUCUUUGUGGCACUCACUGAGUGGAGCCAUUUCCAUUUACCCACAUUCAAUCAAGGGUUUGUCUUUUGUAUCCCUGGGCAAUUGCAUAACUCUAAUAUUGACCUUAACUGAAGUCCUUUGUUUUGUACCCUAACAGCCCGAAGCAUUAAAAAUGCGUGUUUACUUAAUUUGUCCUGGCAUGCAGUGUAAUUACAAGCAGUUUGUUUUCUCUGUUGUAAAAUAUGGUCUGGAGAAGGAAUAAAGUAAU
rnacentral:lncRNA from 1 species